rnacentral:rRNA from 1 species
AACGAACGCUGGCGGCAGGCCUAACACAUGCAAGUCGAGCGCCCAGCAAUGGGAGCGGCAGACGGGUGAGUAACACGUGGGAACCUUCCCUAUAGUACGGAAUAUACCAGGGAAACUUGGAGCAAUACCGUAUACGCCCGAGAGGGGAAAGAUUUAUCGCUAUAGGAUGGGCCCGCGUUGGAUUAGCUAGUUGGUGAGGUAACGGCUCACCAAGGCAACGAUCCAUAGCUGGUUUGAGAGAAUGACCAGCCACACUGGGACUGAGACACGGCCCAGACUCCUACGGGAGGCAGCAGUGGGGAAUCUUGGACAAUGGGCGCAAGCCUGAUCCAGCCAUGCCGCGUGAGUGAUGAAGGCCUUAGGGUUGUAAAGCUCUUUUGCCGGGGACGAUAAUGACGGUACCCGGAGAAUAAGUCCCGGCUAGCUUCGUGCCAGCAGCCGCCGUAA